rnacentral:lncRNA from 1 species
ACGUCGUUCGCUGAGAACUUACCGAAGUUGAACUCCCUCACUUUCCGCUUCCCAGCAUUGGCGGGUUCCGGGACUGGUGGCUGCGGUAGCUCAUUGGCCUUUGGUCUCUUAGACGGUGGAGAAUAAUCAUCAUCUUGAAAAAGAAAAUGGUCAUUACUGGAAGAACCAUCUUACAGUUACAGUCACCUCCUGGUCAAUUCCCAACAUUCAAAAGCUAAAGAAACAGGCUCAGAGGAUGUUAUUUGAUUGGACUAUGUUGUAUCUCUGGAGAGCACAGCUGAGAUCAGACUGUGUGUGUGUAACUCCACUAGACUACGAGGGUGCUUCUCAUAAAGGGUUGCAAGAUCAUAGUUCUCGGGGUGUUUAAAGGCAACACCUUCCGGAAGCCCCUGCACUACCACAGCCGACUGGUCUCGCAGCAUCUUCUCAUAUGGUACAGGUACCACUGUGGAUUUGCCUAAAGCUUUCCCUGGGGCAGAUGAAAAGCGGAUGAACAUCAUUCAAUGUGCAGGCCUACCCAACUAUGGAAUGAUGGAACAGAAGGCCUCACCAUGGACUCGAGAGCUGACAUGAGGAAUGUCACCACCAUCCUGCUCUCCGAGGACUCCUCAUCUUCAACGGGGAGGGUGGACAUUGCAACUUGGGCCAUGAUCCCUGUGCAGGAGAAGUAAGAAGAAAGUGAGUGGUAGAAAUCUGGUGUCCUGAACCCACAGCCAAAGCUGUGAGGGCCCCUCACCGGCUGCCUAAUUUACAGUUUUCUUGCUCUAGAGACAAAAUAAGGCUCAGAAACUAAGUAUUUGACUUGCCCAAACCCUCAUAAGAUAAAGAAUCUAUCCCCUAA